rnacentral:rRNA from 1 species
AGAGUUUGAUCCUGGCUCAGAUUGAACGCUGGCGGCAGGCCUUACACAUGCAAGUCGAACGUGAAAGCUCUUCGGAGUGAGUAGAGUGGCGGACGGGUGAGUAACGCGUAGGAAUCUACCUAGUAGUGGGGGACAACCUGGUGAAAACCAGGCUAAUACCGCAUACGCCCCAAGGGGGAAAGCGGGGGAUCUGUUUACAGACCUCGUGCUAUUAGAUGAGCCUGCGUAAGAUUAGCUAGUUGGUGGGGUAAAGGCCCACCAAGGCGACGAUCUUUAGCUGGUCUGAGAGGAUGAUCAGCCACACUGGGACUGAGACACGGCCCAGACUCCUACGGGAGGCAGCAGUGGGGAAUAUUGCGCAAUGGGCGAAAGCCUGACGCAGCCAUGCCGCGUGUGUGAAGAAGGCCUUAGGGUUGUAAAGCACUUUCAGUGGGGAGGAAAAGCUAGUAGUUAAUAGUUGCUAGCCGUGACGUUACCCACAGAAGAAGCACCGCUAAUU